AUGAAGCUAGUAGCUUGGAACUGCCGGGGGCUUCGGAACCCGCCGGCAGUUCAUGCCCUCCUGGAGCUCCGGGGGGCAGAAGAGCCUGACAUUCUCUUUCUUUCUGAAACAAAGCUGACAGAGAGAGAAUUGGAGAGUCUGAGAUGGAAAAUGGGAAUGCCAAACAUGGUGGUGAAAGAUGCGGUGGGUCGGAGCGGCGGGCUCGCGCUGUUCUGGCGAAGGGGAGUGAACGUGAACUUGAGGUUGAAGGACAAGUACUUCAUUGAUGCGGAGGUAUGGGAGGAAAAUGGGGUGAAGUGGAGGUUGACAGGACUGUAUGGGGAGUCGAAAUGGGGGGAGAAGGAGAACACAUGGAAAGACUUACGAAAUCUACAUGCACAAGCAGAUCUGCCAUGGAUUGUCCUAGGAGACUUUAAUGAGAUCUUGUUCGCAAAUGAGAAGGAGGGAGGACCGGCUCGGGCCCAGCCUUGUAUGGAUGCUUUUCGGAACACCCUGGAGGGGUGUGGUCUCGAGGAUUUGGGCUUUGUUGGGGACCCGUUCACGUGGAGGAACAAUUGGCACUCACUGGAGGGGUAUACUAGGGAGCGGCUGGAUCGAGCAGUAGCAAAUGCGGGUUGGCGUGGUCUCUUUCCUUUGCACAAAAUUAUAAAUGGGGACCCAAGACACUCUGAUCAUCGGCCUAUAAUCACAGAGCUGAAUGUAUGUCUGAUUGGUAUAAACAUAUGGCAGGCCCAAAUGUAUUCCGGUUCGAAGCCCGCUGGUUGCAAGAGGAAGAAUGUGGGAAGGUUGUAG
rnacentral:rRNA from 1 species